UACGUAGGGGGCAAGCGUUGUCCGGAAUCAUUGGGCGUAAAGCGCGUGUAGGCGGCUGGUAAGUCCGCUCUGAAAGCCCGGGGCUCAACCCCGGGAGGCGGGUGGAUACUGCUCAGCUCGAGUCCGGAAGAGGAGUGUGGAAUUCCGUGGUGUAGCGGUGAAAUGCGCAGAUAAUCAGGAGGAACACCGAUGGCGAAGGCAGCUCGCUGGACGGUACUGACGCUGAGCGCGAAAGCGUGGGAGCAACAGG
rnacentral:rRNA from 1 species